CGGGGAUGGGAUGGGAUGGGGCGGGGGCGGGGCAGGUGGUGCGACCGCCUCUCUCCUCAGCCUGCACCCCCGCCCCCUACCACGGGAGCGCCAGGGUCAGGAGCUACCCAUUGUGAUCUCAUUUUGCAGAUGAGGCGCACUGAGGCCUGCCCAGAGUCACAGGGGCAGGCCGGGUGUCAAAGCGGUUAGCACCGCGCCAGCUCGUUGUCGGCGCCCGGAAGCGUUGGUCUCCUUUCCUUUGGAUCCUGUUGGAACGGAAGCUCUACGAGGGCAGGAACUCUGCCUGUGUCGUCGUCCCCUCCUCCCCCUUACCCGCCCCCCCGGCCCCCCUCGUUCACUGUUGUAUCCACAGUGCCCAGAGCACUGGCAGUGGGCACGCAGUAAAUUACUUGAAUGAGUAACUCUUACUCCGGCCCUUCUGUAACUCUCUCACCUCAACUCGAGUCACCCUGGCCGCUCCCCAAAGGUCUUAGAGAAUAACUGGGGGAAGGCCAGACAGAAGGGAGUGAUAUGAUACAGAAGAGAGCACCCAGCCUGCAAAUCACCGAUGCAGGGGAGUUACUCGAUCCGCUUUAAGUGCUGGGAGGCGGUAAACUCCAUGAGGACAGAGCUGUUCACCUGUUUCCUCCGAAUCCAGCACGGUGCCUGGCACAGUAGCCAUUAAAUAAAUAUUUGAUGAAUAAAAUGCUUUGCCAUGAGCAGAUUCUCUGCCUGUGAGAUUCAUGGUUCCACUUUUAUAAAAAUUAAUAAAAGAUCAAGCAACUCA